rnacentral:rRNA from 1 species
GAUGAACGCUGGCGGCGUGCCUAAUACAUGCAAGUCGAGCGAACAGACGAGGAGCUUGCUCCUCUGACGUUAGCGGCGGACGGGUGAGUAACACGUGGAUAACCUACCUAUAAGACUGGGAUAACUUCGGGAAACCGGAGCUAAUACCGGAUAAUAUAUUGAACCGCAUGGUUCAAUAGUGAAAUACGGUUUUUCUGUCUCUUAUAGAUGGAUCCGCGCCGCAUUAGCUAGUUGGUAAGGUAACGGCUUACCAAGGCAACGAUUCGUAGCCGACCUGAGAGGGUGAUCGGCCACACUGGAACUGAGACACGGUCCAGACUCCUACGGGAGGCAGCAGUAGGGAAUCUUCCGCAAUGGGCGAAAGCCUGACGGAGCAACGCCGCGUGAGUGAUGAAGGUCUUCGGAUCGUAAAACUCUGUUAUUAGGGAAGAACAAAUGUGUAAGUAACUAUGCACGUCUUGACGGUACCUAAUAAGAAAGCCACGGCUAACUACGUG